rnacentral:misc_RNA from 1 species
CUAAUUUUGUAUAAUUUUUUUCUAUUCAUUAAAAGAGGGCGUUACUUGUGAAGUAAAUUGAGUUAUAAGUUUGAAAUAUUGUUAAUUUACAUAAUUUUAUUAUUUACUACAAGAUGGCGUUAGUAGUAGAAUAAAUCGCGCUAUCAUUUGUUUUAUAUUAUACCAUAUGAAGAAACGAAAAUUUGUUUUGGAAGAGAUCAGGCCAAGCGAGAGGUCAAGGGUGACAA